UGUGGACCUUGUCCUCUGCCCUUCUUACUUGGGCCAGGCCAGAUGGAGUCAAGUAACAAGUGACUGAGCGUCCAGAGGCUACAGGGCUGGGUGCUGCAGAGCUGCAGAGCUGCAAAUGUAGGCAUAGCCAAGAACUUCUCCAGGCAUUUCUGGUGGCCCUCGUCCCUCCUACUGAUUCAUGGUGAUUCAUCUGAGGCCUGGCUGUCCCUGCUAGAUAGUGCCACCACUGCUGCUAUCCCGACUCUAUCGAACUGGACUGCUAGUCGAUCUGUGAAGGGUUUGCAUGUGAGUGGAUGGAGCUGCCACUGCUGACCUGUAAACUGAACUGCUGAUUUCCUGACAACACAGAUGGGAGUUGCUCCAAAGAGCCUUUCUAAGCAGAUCCACUUCCCCCAUAUCCUUUCUUUCCCAUCACCUCUGGUGGUGGUGGGCUAGAAGGGAGGUUAACUCGACUAAGAACCAUCAUUAAAAAGAGGCUUUGACAAAAUUAAAGUUACAAGUCAGGGUUUCUCUGUGUAGCCCUAGCUGUCCUGACUUGCUCUGUAGAUCAGACUAGCCGCAGACUCAUAGAGAUCAACCUGCAAAGUGCUAGGAUUAAAGGCAUGUGCCACCACCACCACCCAUCUUGCUGGGUCUCUUCUUAAUGAGUGUUAAUUGCCUGGCUGACCAGCAUUCAUUGUCCCAGCAAAGCAAGGGGUUCACUUUAGUGGGUUUUUUCCUUUUUUUAAAAAUUUUUUUUAUUUUUGACAAAAGGUUUCCUUGUGUAGCUCUGGCUGUCCUGAAAUUGCUUUGUAGACUAGGCAUCUUAGUGGUUCUUAAUUCAAAGAAUCAUGUAAUUGGCUCUGAUAAAGUCUAUGAGGGACUCUCAAACUUCCCAAUGAAAUUUGACAUGGCAGGCUUCCACUGUCUAGAUUUCUCUCAACACUGUUAUCUUCUAAGCUCACAAAGAACAAUCCACUAAGCCAUAAGCACUCAUUGGUUUUUCCUUCCCAAAGUUCAAAUGCUACCACAGGCCUCCCGAGGCAUAUGCUCAGCGCCACAGCCUCGCCCCCACCCCCGUCCCAGUCCCCCGUCCCCCCCUGCCCAGGCACAUGCUUAGCACCACCCCCACACACGCCACUUUCAGGUCCUUAAGGCUUCUGCUGCUGUGAUGACCAUGUCAGCAGAAUGACCAAAAGCAACUUGGGAAAAAAAGAGUUUAUUUCACUCACACUUCCAGCAACAGUCUGUUGCUGGGGAAGUCAGGGAAGGAACUCAAGUAGGGCAGGAACCUGGAGGCAGGACAGAUGCGGGGGCCUUGGGGGAAUGCUGUUUCCUACCUAGCUUGUUCCUCACAACUUACUCAGCCUUCCUUCUUAUAGUGUCCAGGGGUAGCACUGCCCACGGUGAGCUGGGCCCUCCCACAUCAUUCAUCAAUCACAAAAACAGGUGCAGAACAGGCUUGCCCACAGGCCAACCAGGGCAGGCUUGCCCACAGGACAAUCUGGUGGGAAUAUUUUCUCAAAUGAGGUGACUUCUUCCAAAAAUAACUCUAGCUUAAAAGUUAAUAUAAACCUACCCUGCACAGACAGACAGACAGACAGACAGAGACAGAAAGUAUUAGAAGAAGAGAUACCCAGCAUCUAUUUUUGAUUAAUACAUACUCACAUAUGUACACACAUAAAUACAGACAUAUAUGCCCCACGUAUACAUACAAAUGAAUUUUAAAAGGUACAAUUUCCUUAUUUUUACAAGAGUCUGUUACAACUAUUAUCAAGGUCUCCUGUGCCCCCACACUGCCGCACUCCAUACGUUUGCCUCUGCAUGCUGCACAAGGUCCCUUUUUUUGUGCCCACAGGAUGCUCCUUGUGCUGGGGGACUUCGGUUUGCUGUCCCAAACGAAAACUGCUGUAAGCACCUUUGCAGGAGUGUUUUGAAAACUUCAGCUUCAUUUACUUAAGAGCACCCAAAGCCAGGUGCAGCGGGGCACACCUUUAAUCCCAGGUCUCAGGAGGCAGAGGCAGGCAGAUCUCUGUGAGUUCCAGGCCAGCCUGAGCUAUGUAGAGAGAUCUGGAUUUUAUACAUACAUACAUACAUACAUACAUACAUACAUACAUACAUACAUACAAUUUUUAAAAGCACCCAAGUACGGGAUAGUGGCAUACUUGGCAAAAUCUGUUUUAUCUGAUGUAAAAUUAUUCACCACAAAGGACCCAGUUUUCAAAACUAAUAUCAGCUUUUACUUUUGCCCAAUCUGACCAUAAGACAUCAUGUGGAUUUCAAUUGCAUUGUCCUUAGACUACUGUAUCAUCGCAACCCUUUGGUUAACUGUCCUCUUUCCUUAGACUGAGAUGCUGAGCAUCUGUCCAUGGGGCUACUGUAUCAUCACAACCCUUUGGUCGACUGUCCUCUUUUGUUUGAGCUCUAAUUCAACUACUUACUUUAAUACUCUGCUUAGAGGACCCUACAUAGUCUUGAUACAGGUUCUUGAAUAAAUGACUUUAAAGUAUUUUCUUCCAGAGUGUUAGUCCUUGUUUUGACAAAAGCAAGUUAAGGGAUCAGGGCUUAUUUGGUUUAUAGUUCAUGUUGGAGAAGUCAUGGGACCAGGAACCCAAGGCAGCUGGUAACACUAUAUCUGAACUCAGGAAGUAGAAGCAGGGGCCAGGCAUGAUGGCAGACGCCUUUAGUCCCAGCACUCAGGAGAAACAGACAAACCUCAUCUGCAUUGUGAAUUCUAUAUGGUGAGAUCCUGUUUUAAAAAGAAGUGGAGGGGAGGCUGGUGAGAUGGCUCAGUGGGUAAGAACACCCGACUGCUCUUCUGAAGGUCCAGAGUUCAAAUCCC
rnacentral:lncRNA from 1 species